GUAGGUGGCAAGCGUUGUCCGGAAUUAUUGGGCGUAAAGCGCGCGCAGGCGGUCCUUUAAGUCUGAUGUGAAAGCCCACGGCUCGACCGUGGAGGGUCAUUGGAAACUGGAGAACUUGAGUACAGAAGAGGAAAGCGGAAUUCCACGUGUAGCGGUGAAGUGCGUAGAGAUGUGGAGGAACACCAGUGGCGAAGGCGGCUUUCUGGUCUGUAACUGACGCUGAGGCGCGAAAGCGUGGGGAGCAAACAGGGAUUAGAUACCCUGGUAGUCCACGCCGUAAACGAUGAGUGCUAAGUGUUAAGGGGUUUCCGCCCCCUUAGUGCUGCAGCUAACGCAUUGAGCACUCCGCCCUGGGAGUACGGCCGCAAGGCUG
rnacentral:rRNA from 1 species